GAUGAACGCUGGCGGCGUGCCUAAUACAUGCAAGUCGAGCGAACAGACGAGGAGCUUGCUCCUCUGACGUUAGCGGCGGACGGGUGAGUAACACGUGGAUAACCUACCUAUAAGAGUGGGAUAACUUCGGGAAACCGGAGCUAAUACCGGAUAAUAUAUUGAACCGCUUGGUUCAAUAGUGAAAGACGGUUUUGCUGUCACUUAUAGAUGGAUCCGCGCCGCAUUAGCUAGUUGGUAAGGUAACGGCUUACCAAGGCAACGAUGCGUAGCCGACCUGAGAGGGUGAUCGGCCACACUGGAACUGAGACACGGUCCAGACUCCUACGGGAGGCAGCAGUAGGGAAUCUUCCGCAAUGGGCGAAAGCCUGACGGAGCAACGCCGCGUGAGUGAUGAAGGUCUUCGGAUCGUAAAACUCUGUUAUUAGGGAAGAACAAAUGUGUAAGUAACUAUGCACGUCUUGACGGUACCUAAUCAGAAAGCCACGGCUAACUACGUG
rnacentral:rRNA from 1 species